rnacentral:rRNA from 1 species
GACGAACGCUGGCGGCGUGCCUAAUACAUGCAAGAAGAACGCUGAAGGAGGAGCUUGCUCUUCUGGAUGAGUUGCGAACGGGUGAGUAACGCGUAGGUAACCUGCCUGGUAGCGGGGGAUAACUAUUGGAAACGAUAGCUAAUACCGCAUAACAGUAGAUGUUGCAUGACAUUUGCUUAAAAGGUGCAAUUGCAUCACUACCAGAUGGACCUGCGUUGUAUUAGCUAGUUGGUGGGGUAACGGCUCACCAAGGCGACGAUACAUAGCCGACCUGAGAGGGUGAUCGGCCACACUGGGACUGAGACACGGCCCAGACUCCUACGGGAGGCAGCAGUAGGGAAUCUUCGGCAAUGGACGGAAGUCUGACCGAGCAACGCCGCGUGAGUGAAGAAGGUUUUCGGAUCGUAAAGCUCUGUUGUAAGAGAAGAACGAGUGUGAGAGUGGAAAGUUCACACUGUGACGGUAGCUUACCAGAAAGGGACGGCUAACUACGUG